CCUUAGUAACGGCGAGUGAAGCGGCAACAGCUCAAAUUUGAAAUCUGGCGUCUUUGGCGUCCGAGUUGUAAUUUGCAGAGGGCGCUUUGGCAUUGGCAGCGGUCCAAGUUCCUUGGAACAGGACGUCACAGAGGGUGAGAAUCCCGUACGUGGUCGCUAGCCUUUACCGUGUAAAGCCCCUUCGACGAGUCGAGUUGUUUGGGAAUGCAGCUCUAAAUGGGAGGUAAAUUUCUUCUAAAGCUAAAUACUGGCCAGAGACCGAUAGCGCACAAGUAGAGUGAUCGAAAGAUGAAAAGCACUUUGGAAAGAGAGUUAAAAAGCACGUGAAAUUGUUGAAAGGGAAGCGCUUGCAGCCAGACUUGCCUGUAGUUGCUCAUCUAGGUUUCUACCUAGUGCACUCUUCUAUAGGCAGGCCAGCAUCAGUUUGGGCGGUUGGAUAAAGGUCUCUGUCAUGUACCUCUCUUCGGGGAGAACUUAUAGGGGAGACGACAUGCAACCAGCCUGGACUGAGGUCCGCGCAUCUGCUAGGAUGCUGGCGUAAUGGCUGUAAGCGGCCCGUCUUGAAACACGGACCAAGGAGUCUAACAUCUAUGCGAGUGUUUGGGUGUCAAGCCCGAGCGCGUAAUGAAAGUGAACGGAGGUGGGAACCUUUCGGGGUGCACCAUCGACCGAUCCUGAUGUCUUCGGAUGGAUUUGAGUAAGAGCAUAGCUGUUGGGACCCGAAAGAUGGUGAACUAUGCUUGAAUAGGGUGAAGCCAGAGGAAACUCUGGUGGAGGCUCGCAGCGGUUCUGACGUGCAAAUCGAUCGUCAAAUUUGGGCAUAGGGGCGAAAGACUAAUCGAACUAUCUAGUAGCUGGUUCCUGCCGAAGUUUCCCUCAGGAUAGCAGUAACGUUUUCAGUUUUAUGAGGUAAAGCGAAUGAUUAGAGGCCUGGGGGUUGAAACAACCUU
rnacentral:rRNA from 1 species